GUGCUGGCUUCCGCAGCACAUAUACUAAAACUGGAACAAUUCAGAGAAGAUUAGCAUGGCCCCUGCACAAGGACGGCAUGCAAAUUCCUGAAGUGUUCUGUAUUUAA
ensembl:snRNA U6 U6 spliceosomal RNA